AGUGAACGCUGGCGGCAGGCCUAACACAUGCAAGUCGAGCGGCAGCGCGGGGGCAACCCUGGCGGCGAGCGGCGGACGGGUGAGACAUACAUCGGAAUCUACCCAGUCGCGGGGGAACAUGGAGGGAUACCUACGCUAAUACCGCAUCCGAACUGAGGGUGAAGGCAGGGGACCGCAAGGCCUUGCGCGAUGGGAUGAGCCGAUGUCCGAUGAGCUAGUUGGCGGGGGAAAAGGCCACGAAGGCGCCGGGCGGUAGCUGGUCGGAGAGGAUGAUCAGGCACACGGGAACUGAGACACGGUCCAGACUCCUAGGGGAGGCAGCAGUGGGGAAUAUUGGACGAUGGGCGCAAGCCUGAUCCAGCCAUGCCGCGUGUGUGAAGAAGGCCUUCGGGUUGUAAAGCACUUUUGUCCGGAAAGAAAUCCUGUCGGUUAAUACCUGGCGGGGAUGACGGUACCGGAAGAAUAAGCACCGGCUAACUUCGUGCCAGCCGCCGCGGUAAUAC
rnacentral:rRNA from 1 species